CAAAACUUUCAACAACGGAUCUCUUGGCUCUGGCAUCGAUGAAGAACGCAGCGAAACGCGAUAAGUAAUGUGAAUUGCAGAAUCUAGUGAAUCAUCGAAUCUUUGAACGCACAUUGCGCCCGCCAGCAUUCUGGCGGGCAUGCCUGUUCGAGC
rnacentral:rRNA from 1 species